GAUGAACGCUAGCGGCAGGCUUAAUACAUGCAAGUCGAGGGGGCAGCAAUGUCACCGGCGAACGGGUGCGUAACACGUAUGCAACCUACCUAUAUCAGGGGGAUAGCCCGAGGAAACUCGGAUUAAUACCGCAUAACAUUAGGAUCGGCAUCGAUUUUAAUUGAAAGAUUUAUUGGAUAUAGAUGGGCAUGCGUAGGAUUAGCUAGUUGGUAAGGUAACGGCUUACCAAGGCUACGAUCCUUAGGGGCUCUGAGAGGAGUAUCCCCCACACUGGCACUGGACUACGGGCCAGACUCCUACGGGGGGCAGCAGUAGGGAAUAUUGGGCAAUGGGCGAAAGCCUGACCCAGCCAUGCCGCGUGCAGGAAGACGGCCCUCUGGGUUGUAAACUGCUUUUGAAUGGGAAGAAAGGUAUGCUUGCGAGCGUAAUUGACGGUACCAUUAGAAUAAGCCACGGCUAACUACGUGCCAGCCGCCGCAGUAA
rnacentral:rRNA from 1 species